CUCACCAGAGAAUGGGCCCAAGUACUUAACACGGUCAGGGCCAUACCAUGGGCUGCUAGAUGGGGCGGACUUGGCAACAGCCUUUCUCAUAGUGAUCCUUCCAUUUCCAGAAAUUUCUGAGGCAGAUGGUGAGAGUUUGACUGCCUGUCCAGCAAAUGAAGGGGAAGAAAGAGCCAUUGUAGCAGCUGCCAUUUGUGUUUAUUUUAAGAGAAGAAUUA
rnacentral:misc_RNA from 1 species